CGAAUAUCCAAGAGGGCAUUUUGGCACCAGUGAUGGACAGGAAAGUCCCACUGUGGGGAGGAUAGGAAAGAGCAUAACAAUGCCUGCCACCAGGAGGAAGAGGCCCCAGAUGUCAACCCAUUGCAUGGUUUGCAGGCAUCGGGAUCACCGGGAAAGACUCAAAGAAUCAAGUCACAGGCACUGGAGGGAACAAGGCUUUACUCACAUAGCGAAGAGACAAGAUCAGGCUUAAUGACCAUAGCAAUGCAAGGAUAACCGGGGAAAUUGAAUAAUAAAAACUGGUUUGGGUCUGGAACUACCUGUGGCUGAGUAGGAAUUUGUUGGAAGAAAAGAAUGCAACUUAUUGGCUUGCUCAGUUUCCUAAAAAUGUUACUAUGCCUGCCUCAUGGAUUGACCUUGGUAUUGCCAUUGGAGCU
rnacentral:lncRNA from 1 species